rnacentral:rRNA from 1 species
AUUGAACGCUGGCGGCAUGCCUUACACAUGCAAGUCGAACGGCAGCACGGGAGCAAUCCUGGUGGCGAGUGGCGAACGGGUGAGUAAUAUAUCGGAACGUGCCCCGUCGUGGGGGAUAACGUAGCGAAAGCUACGCUAAUACCGCAUACGAUCUAUGGAUGAAAGCGGGGGAUGGCAAGACCUCGCGCGAUUGGAGCGGCCGAUAUCAGAUUAGGUAGUUGGUGAGGUAAAGGCUCACCAAGCCGACGAUCUGUAGCUGGUCUGAGAGGACGACCAGCCACACUGGGACUGAGACACGGCCCAGACUCCUACGGGAGGCAGCAGUGGGGAAUUUUGGACAAUGGGCGCAAGCCUGAUCCAGCAAUGCCGCGUGCAGGAUGAAGGCCUUCGGGUUGUAAACUGCUUUUGUACGGAACGAAACGGCGAGCUCUAAUACAGUUUGCUAAUGACGGUACCGUAAGAAUAAGCACCGGCUAACUACGUGCCAGCCGCCGCAGUAA